rnacentral:rRNA from 1 species
AGAACAACAGGGAUUGCCUCAGUAACGGCGAGUGAAGCGGCAACAGCUCAAAUUUGAAAUCNGGCGCCCGCCCGAGUUGUAAUUUGGAGAGGAUGCUUCUGGGCAGCGGCCGGCUUCAAGUCCCUUGGAACAGGGCGUCAGAGAGGGUGAGAAUCCCGUANGCGACCGGCUGGCACCCGUCACGUAGCUCCUUCGACGAGUCGAGUUGUUUGGGAAUGCAGCUCUAAAUGGGUGGUAAAUUCCAUCUAAAGCUAAAUACCGGCCAGAGACCGAUAGCGCACAAGUAGAGUGAUCGAAAGAUGAAAAGCACUUUGGAAAGAGAGUUAAACAGCACGUGAAAUUGUUGAAAGGGAAGCGCAUGCUACCAGACUCGACGGCGGAAGCUCCGCCGGUCUUCUGACCACGGCCGACUCGCCGCCGUCGGGCCAGCAUCGCGUGGGCGCGCCGGACAAAGGCGCGGGGAAUGUGGCCCCCCUCUGGGGGGGUGUUAUAGCCCCGCGUGCGAUGCGGCGCCGCCCGCGCGAGGUCCGCGCUUCGGCUAGGAUGCUGGCGUAAUGGUCGCAUGCGGCCCGUCUUGAAACACGGACCAAGGAGUCUAACAUCUGUGCGAGUGUUCGGGUGUCAAACCCCUACGCGGAAUGAAAGUGAACGGAGGUGGGAGCUUCGGCGCACCAUCGACCGAUCCUGAUGUCCUCGGAUGGAUUUGAGUAAGAGCAUAGCUGUUGGGACCCGAAAGAUGGUGAACUAUGCCUGAAUAGGGUGAAGCCAGAGGAAACUCUGGUGGAGGCUCGCAGCG